AUUUUCGUAGACUGGUUAUGGUGAAAUAAAAUAAGUAGCUUCUCAAGGAAGCUUGAUAUUCCAUUCUCCAUAAUUUAAAAGAGCAAAAGUUUUUAACUUGGUCUUGUAGUAGGUCAAAGAGAUCAUUCAAGCAUCUCAAAGAAGCUAAAUACUCCAUUCCAAUAAAGGAAGUCCCUUUAAAUAUCAAUGCUCAUACCAAUUUCUUUCCCUAGAAGCGGAAAAGAAUGUCCAUGGAAACAAAACAAAGGAAUCGAUCGGUUACGUGGUUGAGGGAAAGAUUACUUUGUGAAGUAGUGAUAGUGAAAGCUUCCCUGGACUGGGAGGCUCUUGCUCACGAACAUAAUGAACUGUUUCGUACGGGAAAAACUACGAAAGAGGAACUCGUAAAGAUCUAUAAGAAACUUAAAGAUGAUGCGGUUGUCUUCUCAAUGCUUUUGAAUGUUGAAGGGUUUAGCUGGAAUUAUCAAAAAAACAUUGUCACUUGCAGCAAUGUUAUAUGGCAAGCUCAAUGGGAUAUUCAUCAUGGUGACGAAACGUUUAGACAUCGGGGGCCCAUAUUUUAUGAUGACUUGAAAAUGAUUUUUACGAAUGAAAUUAUCGAAGCUAACCAGUAUACAACCAGAUAGGACAACUUAUCAUGUAUCAGGGUCUACAUGGUCAACGUCAACUUCUUUUGGUGGGGUGGUGUCCGUUUGUAAUUAUGGGAAGGGUCAGUCGAGUUUUGAACAUGGUAGAAAUUUUUAUUAGAUCUUUGCGAUAUUCUAAAGGAUAAGCAUACAGGUUAUUUCCCUUUGCUUAUGAAUGAUAUUCGAGGAGAAAAGGAUCUAUAUGCUGUAUGGUUCGAGUUGGAGGAACCUUUUCAUCGUGCGAUUGUGGAACACUUUAUAAGGAGCAACCCUCUCCCCCUUCAGUAAGCCAGAGGUUGCCAAGUGUUGCCUUUUAGGCCGUUAACCUAAUAACUCUUUCAAUUUACACUCUAUCCUAUUUAUUUGUACAAUUUGCUCAUUCUACCAUUUCUACUUUGUAUAUUCGUUAAGCCCUUUUCACAUGCUUUCUUACUAGGCAUCUGGCACCUGUGCAUUUGUAGGAUAGAACCAUAGGGGUCUUCUUUGUUUCAAAAUGACAUCUUGCUUUGUUGUAAACCCCUUUGAUGCGGAGGCUCUUCAGGAAGUUGUGUAGAAGAGUCUCAAUUUAUAAUGAUGAACUGAUUUAAUAUUACAUAAAUAUGCCUGUUUAAUCACAAAGAGAGAAUAUUUUUCUUGAAAUAUGUAUCCUCUAUUUUGAUUGUCCCUGCGUUUCUAUUACUAGUUUUUGGACACGUGCA